rnacentral:rRNA from 1 species
AUUGAACGCUGGCGGCAGGCCUAACACAUGCAAGUCGAGCGGCAGCGGGUCCUUCGGGAUGCCGGCGAGCGGCGGACGGGUGAGUAAUGCCUAGGAGUCUGCCUGGUAGUGGGGGAUAACGUUCGGAAACGGACGCUAAUACCGCAUACGUCCUACGGGAGAAAGUGGGGGAUCUUCGGACCUCACGCUAUCAGAUGAGCCUAGGUCGGAUUAGCUAGUUGGUGGGGUAAAGGCUCACCAAGGCGACGAUCCGUAACUGGUCUGAGAGGAUGAUCAGUCACACUGGAACUGAGACACGGUCCAGACUCCUACGGGAGGCAGCAGUGGGGAAUAUUGGACAAUGGGCGAAAGCCUGAUCCAGCCAUGCCGCGUGUGUGAAGAAGGUCUUCGGAUUGUAAAGCACUUUAAGUUGGGAGGAAGGGCAGUCAGUUAAUACCUGGUUGUUUUGACGUUACCAACAGAAUAAGCACCGGCUAACUUCGUGCCAGCCGCCGCUGUAAUAC